rnacentral:ncRNA from 2 species
UUCUUAUCCAGAGAGGUGGAGGGACAUGGCCCUUUGAAACCUCGGCAGCGGGUUUUUCGUUUUUUGAAAAAAUACUGUGCCAAUUCCACCAGGUUCCCUAAAGAACCUGGAAGAUAAGAA